rfam:Triticum urartu cultivar G1812 contig315093, whole genome shotgun sequence.
AUCCCGGUGAAGAAUCUCCAACCAUAUGAAGUGUCGCAUGACACUGUAAACAACAGCUGCUUUUCUCCACUGCAAGCGUCCUCCUUGGGCCAUAACCUUUGUGGUUUGGUCUGUGCUGGAGUCUCCAGUUGUACCUGGUUUGGUUCAGCUGUUUGUGUGAUUUCUCUUUAAUCUUGCUUGCU